AGCACCUUUAACUAAGUCCAGAGAGGCUUAGAAGGUAUCACGUCUGCUGCGGCAGAUCAAUUACGACUGACGGUCGCCUUCUAACCAAACUGGAUAGAAGGCGACUUUUU
rfam:Lactobacillus manihotivorans DSM 13343 = JCM 12514 strain DSM 13343 NODE_244, whole genome shotgun sequence.